rnacentral:tRNA from 2 species
GCCGACGUGGUGGAAUUGGUAGACACGCUAUCUUGAGGGGGUAGUGGCGUAAAGCUGUGCGAGUUCGAGUCUCGCCGUCGGCACCA